rnacentral:rRNA from 1 species
CACAUGCAAGUCGAACGGUGAUGUCAGAGCUUGCUCUGGCGGAUCAGUGGCGAACGGGUGAGUAACACGUGAGUAACCUGCCCCCGACUCUGGGAUAACUGCUAGAAAUGGUAGCUAAUACCGGAUAUGACGAUUGGCCGCAUGGUCUGGUCGUGGAAAGAAUUUCGGUUGGGGAUGGACUCGCGGCCUAUCAGGUUGUUGGUGAGGUAAUGGCUCACCAAGCCUACGACGGGUAGCCGGCCUGAGAGGGUGACCGGCCACACUGGGACUGAGACACGGCCCAGACUCCUACGGGAGGCAGCAGUGGGGAAUAUUGCACAAUGGGCGCAAGCCUGAUGCAGCAACGCCGCGUGAGGGAUGACGGCCUUCGGGUUGUAAACCUCUUUUAGUAGGGAAGAAGCGAAAGUGACGGUACCUGCAGAAAAAGCACCGGCUAACUACGUGCCAGCAGCCGCGGUAAUACGUAGGGUGCAAGCGUUGUCCGGAAUUAUUGGGCGUAAAGAGCUCGUAGGCGGUUUGUCGCGUCUGCUGUGAAAUCCCGAGGCUCAACCUCGGGUCUGCAGUGGGUACGGGCAGACUAGAGUGCGGUAGGGGAGAUUGGAAUUCCUGGUGUAGCGGUGGAAUGCGCAGAUAUCAGGAGGAACACCGAUGGCGAAGGCAGAUCUCUGGGCCGUAACUGACGCUGAGGAGCGAAAGCAUGGGGAGCGAACAGGAUUAGAUACCCUGGUAGUCCAUGCCGUAAACGUUGGGAACUAGAUGUGGGGACCAUUCCACGGUCUCCGUGUCGCAGCUAACGCAUUAAGUUCCCCGCCUGGGGAGUACGGCCGCAAGGCUAAAACUCAAAGGAAUUGACGGGGGCCCGCACAAGCGGCGGAGCAUGCGGAUUAAUUCGAUGCAACGCGAAGAACCUUACCCAGGCUUGACAUAUACCGGAAACAUGCAGAGAUGUGUGCCCCGCAAGGUCGGUAUACAGGUGGUGCAUGGUUGUCGUCAGCUCGUGUCGUGAGAUGUUGGGUUAAGUCCCGCAACGAGCGCGACCCUCGUUCUAUGUUGCCAGCACGUAAUGGUGGGAACUCAUAGGAGACUGCCGGGGUCAACUCGGAGGAAGGUGGGGAUGACGUCAAAUCAUCAUGCCCCUUAUGUCUUGGGCUUCACGCAUGCUACAAUGGCCGGUACAAAGGGCUGCGAUACCGUAAGGUGGAGCGAAUCCCAAAAAGCCGGUCUCAGUUCGGAUUGAGGUCUGCAACUCGACCUCAUGAAGUCGGAGUCGCUAGUAAUCGCAGAUCAGCAACGCUGCGGUGAAUACGUUCCCGGGCCUUGUACACACCGCCCGUCAAGUCAUGAAAGUCGGUAACACCCGAAGCCAGUGGCCUAACCGCAAGGGAGGAGCUGUCGAAGGUGGGAUCGGUGAUUAGGACUAAGUCGUAACAAGGUAGCCGUACCGGAAGGUGCGGCUGGAUC